GAUGAACGCUGGCGGCGUGCCUAAUACAUGCAAGUCGAGCGAACAGACGAGGAGCUUGCUCCUUUGACGUUAGCGGCGGACGGGUGAGUAACACGUGGGUAACCUACCUAUAAGACUGGGAUAACUUCGGGAAACCGGAGCUAAUACCGGAUAAUAUUUCGAACCGCAUGGUUCGAUAGUGAAAGAUGGCUUUGCUAUCACUUAUAGAUGGACCUGCGCCGUAUUAGCUAGUUGGUAAGGUAACGGCUUACCAAGGCAACGAUACGUAGCCGACCUGAGAGGGUGAUCGGCCACACUGGAACUGAGACACGGUCCAGACUCCUACGGGAGGCAGCAGUAGGGAAUCUUCCGCAAUGGGCGAAAGCCUGACGGAGCAACGCCGCGUGAGUGAUGAAGGUCUUCGGAUCGUAAAGCUCUGUUAUUAGGGAAGAACAAACGUGUAAGUAACUGUGCACGUCUUGACGGUACCUAAUCAGAAAGCCACGGCUAACUACGUG
rnacentral:rRNA from 1 species